rnacentral:misc_RNA from 1 species
AACGCACAUUGCGCCCGCUAGUAUUCUGGCGGGCAUGCCUGUUCGAGCGUCAUUUCAACCAUCAAGCGCCUGCGCUUGUGUUGGAGCCCUGCGGCUGCCGCAGGCUCCCAAACCCAGUGGCGGGCUCGUCGUCGUACCGAGUGCAGUAAACUUACCACGCUCAGGGCGCGCGACGGGUGACCGGCCGUAAAACCCCAACUUCUCAAGGUUGACCUCGGAUCAGGUAGGAAUACCCGCUGAACUUAA